rnacentral:rRNA from 1 species
AUUGAACGCUGGCGGCAUGCCUUACACAUGCAAGUCGAACGGCAGCACGGGCUUCGGCCUGGUGGCGAGUGGCGAACGGGUGAGUAAUACAUCGGAAUGUGCCCUGUAGUGGGGGAUAACUAGUCGAAAGAUUAGCUAAUACCGCAUACGACCUGAGGGUGAAAGCGGGGGACCGUAAGGCCUCGCGCUACAGGAGCGGCCGAUGUCUGAUUAGCUAGUUGGUGGGGUAAGAGCCUACCAAGGCGACGAUCAGUAGCUGGUCUGAGAGGACGAUCAGCCACACUGGGACUGAGACACGGCCCAGACUCCUACGGGAGGCAGCAGUGGGGAAUUUUGGACAAUGGGGGCAACCCUGAUCCAGCAAUGCCGCGUGUGUGAAGAAGGCCUUCGGGUUGUAAAGCACUUUUGUCCGGAAAGAAAUGGCUCUGGUUAAUACCUGGGGUCGAUGACGGUACCGGAAGAAUAAGCACCGGCUAACUACGUGCCAGCAGCCGCGGUAAUAC